GACGAACGCUGGCGGCGUGCCUAACACAUGCAAGUGGAGCGACGAACCAGGGCUUGCCCUGGGGCAAAGCCGCGAACGGGUGAGUAACACGUGGGUAACCUGCCCCGAUGACCGGGACAACCCGAGGAAACUCGGGCUAAUACCGGAUGUGCUCUUCACACAUCAGUGUGUCGAGUAAAGGAAGCUUCGGCCUCCGCUUCGGGAGGGGCCCGCGGCCCAUUAGCUAGUUGGUGAGGUAACGGCUCACCAAGUCUGCGAUGGGUAGCUGAUCUGAGAGGAUGAUCAGCCACACUGGAACUGAGACACGGUCCAGACUCCUACGGGAGGCAGCAGUGAGGAAUAUUGCGCAAUGGAGGAAACUCUGACGCAGCGACGCCGCGUGAAGGAUGAAGGCCCUCUGGGUUGUAAACUUCUGUAGAGAGGGAAGAAUUUCCCGUUUCGCGGGAUUGACGGUACCUCUAAAGUAAGGGUCGGCUAACUACGUGCCAGCAGCCGCCGUAA
rnacentral:rRNA from 1 species